rnacentral:lncRNA from 10 species
GGCAGGCUUUGAGGGGAUGCAGAAGCAAAACCAGUGGAAAAGCAGUUGUGUGGAGAGAAAACGGAGACAGAGAAAAAGAAGACUGAUUUAAAUUAUCUGGGCCACCAUGUGCACUCUUGCAGGUAAGAGACGAGGCACACGUGCAUUUUCUGGUCUUGAGCUCUGUCCAGUCCCUGAUGGUGAUACUAUAAUAGAAAAGAUAUGCAAGGUCAUUUUUGACCAUACUCAAAAUUUUCCUCUAUACACUGGCUUUUAGAAUGAACUCCUUUGAAAACAAAGGCUUAGAGGGGGCUAAAUGUCUUCUAUAGCAGAGUCACACACCUGGAGGAGCAGAGGCAACCACUAUGGGGACCCAGAGGCUUUGAUCCUAACCUGUCUCCUAAAUUUAACACCUCACUAGGUUUUACUUCUUCAAUACAGGUUCAUGCUAUGAGCACUUUACUGCAUCAUUUAUUAUUGUCUGUUAUAUAAAUUUCUUCCAAAGAGCGCAGAGCUCAGUGAACAUCAGGAGAAAUGCUGAAGAUCGCAGUAAAGUUCCUUUCAUGGGAAGCCUUUUAAAUUAUAACUUUAGCCAGACUGACUUAGAUAGGUUGGAUGCUCUGUUUGGAGACAGGGACAGAAAUCUGAAAGUUUAUCCCAAACCCAGGAUUCUGUGAUCAUCUCACUGUUUCCCAAACUUUCGUUUUUUCUUUCUUUUUUUUUUUUUUUUCAGAUGGAGUUUUGCUCUGUCACCCAGGCUGGAGUGCAAUGGCAUAAUCUUUACUCAGUGCAACCUCUGCCUCCUACAUUCAAGCAAUUCUCCUGCCUCAGCCUCCCAAACAGCUGGAAUUACAGGUGUGCACCACCACGCCUGGCUAAUUUUUGUAUUCUUAGUAGAGACGGGGUUUCACCAUGUUGGCCAGGCUGGUCUCAAACUCCUGACCUCAAGUGAUCCACCCGUCUCGGCCACCCCAAGUGCUGGGAUUACAGGCCUGAGCCACCUCGCCUGGCCUCCCAAACUUGCUUGAUCACGGAAAACACUCACUAAAAAACAAAAACAAAAGAUAACCACACAAUGAAACAAGAAAACAUAGUCCCUGGCACAUAGUAGGCGCAUGAUAUUUUUUGAAUGAUCGAGGUAAAAUUGCGAAAUUGCCAAUCGAAGAACAAAAUGUAAAGUCUGAUUUGUUGCUAACAGCUUCCCAAAACUACGUUUCUGUCUUUCCAUGUGCUUAUACACACGCACAUCCUCAUGCUUUUUAAUAUGUAAGUUUGUAAAAUCAUAGGUAAAAACUUUUGUUUGUUUUUGUUGUUUGAGAUGGACUCUCGCUCUGCCACCCAGGCUAGAGUGCAGUGGUGCGAUCUCAGCUCACUGUAACCUCCGCUUCCCGGGCUCAAGCAAUUCUGCUGCCUCAGCCUCCUGAGUAGCUAGGGUUACAGGCGUGUGCCAACAUGCCCAGCUAAUUUUUGUAUUUUUAGUAGAGACAAGGUUUCACCACGUUGGCCAGGCUAGUCUCGAACUCCUGACCUCGUGAUCUGGCCACCUCAGCCUCCUAAAGCGCUGGGAUUACAGGCGUGAGCCACCGCACCUGGCCCAUAGUCACGCAAUGCCUGUCUGAUACAAGGCUCAGUGCUACGUCUGCUCAGGACUCAGUCCUCAAGCCCACGUCUGCCCUGGAGCACUUAUGUUUUGACCAAGGACAUAUGCUAUUCCUGUGUGACAUCUUGACAAUAUGAGAUGGACAUUACAGCUCAGGAUGACAACAAAAAGUCCUCAGCAUCUCAAAAAUGCCUGCUUUACCCUGGAUUUGAUGGAAUCAGGAUCCAAGCAAGAUCUGCCCCACUGCAUUUGGUUGUCAAAUGAAACCCUUUUCUAUAAGAACUCUCAGCAGGCAACUGUUGAAUUUCUAAACUCUUCAGUUUCUCUGGCUCACAAGCACAGAACACAAACAAACAAACAAAAUCCCAACCUAUUUUUCAAACUUGUUAUUCAAGGGGAAGAGUGUCAAGCUAGAGGCCCUGCAAGCAGCAGAAGGGGCGGUUAAGAAGUGUGUUGGGAGAGAUUGUGUUCCUUCGCAGCAUGGUGAGCCUCCCAGACUGGAUCCAACCUCGUAUCCAGGUGUUGGGCCUCAAUCCCACUUGAGCCGUUGUUUAUCGCCCUCCCGUGGAUUAAUCCCCUGUCAGUUAGGCCAGAGAAGCUCUGGAGAAGGCCUGCGUAGCAUCCCAUGUGUCAAGGCCCCCUUUGAUACACUUUAUCUGCCCUUAUCCCUUCAGACGCGCCAUGACUCCUCUGCUGGUCAUGGCCUCGGAGCUUUAGAAUCUCUGCACAGUGACUGACAUCCCUCCUAUGGAGGAAAGGCAGGGGAUUUUUCUUUUUUGGACGGCAAUCAUUGUUGAUCUGAUAAGAUGUUUUUCAGGGAAUCAAAUGUCAAACCGGGAGUGCUGUGAGUCCGGGAUGAAGUAGCAGUUACAGGACUAAGCAGCUUUGCCUAUUCAUUUUGACUGCAAGGACACCUCCUUGGUCUUGUCGAAACUGUGGACCUCAUUUUGUUUAUUUAUUUAUUUAUUUUUGGAUGGGGAGAGGGUGAUCCAGAAAAAGUGAUGCAUGAAUACGGUUUCAAAUCCUUGUGGGAAUUAACACAUUGUCAUAUAUUCAAAUUUCAAUGCUAUACUAUCAUAACUAUUCACCC